CUUAUCAACAAACACCUGAAUGCUUUUAUUAAGCACAAGAAUAUUAUGGAUGGGAUCCUCACUCUCCAUGAGGUGCUACACCAUACUCAUCAAAAGAAAAAAGUGGGCGUAGUGCUUAAGCUAGAUUUUGGAAAAGCCUACAACAAGAUAAACUGGGAUUUCCUCCUUGAAUGCCACAGUAACCGAGGGUUUGAGACAACUUGGUGUGGCUGGGUGAAAAAAAUCCUGAAUAAUGAUACAGUAAGCAUAAAACUCAAUAAUGAGAUGGGACCUUAUUUCCAGAACUACAAAGGUGUUCGCCAGGGCGAUCCCUAUUCCCCUUUUUCUGUUUAA
rnacentral:rRNA from 1 species